AAUGAACGCUGGCGGCAUGCCUUACACAUGCAAGUCGAACGGCAGCAUGACCUAGCUUGCUAGGUUGAUGGCGAGUGGCGAACGGGUGAGUAAUGCAUCGGAACGUGCCUUUUAGUGGGGGAUAACGUAGCGAAAGUUACGCUAAUACCGCAUAUUCUCUGAGGAGGAAAGCAGGGGACCUUCGGGCCUUUCGCUAGAAGAGCGGCCGAUGUCGGAUUAGCUAGUUGGUGAGGUAAAGGCUCACCAAGGCAACGAUCCGUAGCGGGUCUGAGAGGAUGAUCCGCCACACUGGGACUGAGACACGGCCCAGACUCCUACGGGAGGCAGCAGUGGGGAAUUUUGGACAAUGGGCGCAAGCCUGAUCCAGCCAUGCCGCGUGAGUGAAGAAGGCCUUCGGGUUGUAAAGCUCUUUCGGCUGGGAAGAAAUCGCACCCUCUAAUACAGGGUGUGGAUGACGGUACCAGCAUAAGAAGCACCGGCUAACUACGUG
rnacentral:rRNA from 1 species